ACGUGUGCUCUUCCAAUCUCAGUCAUUGGAUGCAGCAGAUUUCAUGGAGACUGUCUUACAAAGAUUUUGUCUUACAAAGAUUACUGAAGUAAGACUAAAGAUGUAUAAGCAUUCC